rnacentral:tRNA from 1 species
AAAUAAGAAGCAAUUAUUGCAUUCAGUUUCGACCUGAAAGUUAGAUAACCUUAUCCUUAUUUA